AUGCAGUCGAGCGGUAACAGGGGUAGCUUGCUACCCGCUGACGAGCGGCGGACGGGUGAGUAAUGCAUAGGAAUCUGCCCGAUAGUGGGGGAUAACCUGGGGAAACCCAGGCUAAUACCGCAUACGUCCUACGGGAGAAAGGGGGCUCCGGCUCCCGCUAUUGGAUGAGCCUAUGUCGGAUUAGCUAGUUGGUGAGGUAAUGGCUCACCAAGGCAACGAUCCGUAGCUGGUCUGAGAGGAUGAUCAGCCACAUCGGGACUGAGACACGGCCCGAACUCCUACGGGAGGCAGCAGUGGGGAAUAUUGGACAAUGGGCGAAAGCCUGAUCCAGCCAUGCCGCGUGUGUGAAGAAGGCCCUCGGGUUGUAAAGCACUUUCAGCGAGGAAGAACGCCUAGUGGUUAAUACCCAUUAGGAAAGACAUCACUCGCAGAAGAAGCACCGGCUAACUCCGUGCCAGCAGCCGCGGUAAUACGGAGGGUGCAAGCGUUAAUCGGAAUUACUGGGCGUAAAGCGCGCGUAGGUGGCUUGAUAAGCCGGUUGUGAAAGCCCCGGGCUCAACCUGGGAACGGCAUCCGGAACUGUCAAGCUAGAGUGCAGGAGAGGAAGGUAGAAUUCCCGGUGUAGCGGUGAAAUGCGUAGAGAUCGGGAGGAAUACCAGUGGCGAAGGCGGCCUUCUGGACUGACACUGACACUGAGGUGCGAAAGCGUGGGUAGCAAACAGGAUUAGAUACCCUGGUAGUCCACGCCGUAAACGAUGUCGACCAGCCGUUGGGUGCCUAGCGCACUUUGUGGCGAAGUUAACGCGAUAAGUCGACCGCCUGGGGGAGUACGGCCGCAAGGUUAAAACUCAAAUGAAUUGACGGGGGGCCCGCACAAGCGGUGGAGCAUGUGGGUUUAAUUCGAUGCAACGCGAAGAACCUUACCUACUCUUGACAUCCUUGCGAACUUUGUGAGAGAUCACUUUGGUGCCUUCGGGAACGC
rnacentral:rRNA from 1 species